rnacentral:rRNA from 1 species
UACGUAGGGCGCGAGCGUUGUCCGGAAUCAUUGGGCGUAAAGAGCUCGUAGGCGGCCUGUCGCGUCUGCUGUGAAAUCCCGGGGCUCAACCCCGGGCGUGCAGUGGAUACGGGCUGGCUGGAGGCAGGCAGGGGAGAACGGAAUUCCCGGUGUAGCGGUGAAAUGCGCAGAUAUCGGGAGGAACACCGGUGGCGAAGGCGGUUCUCUGGGCCUGUACUGACGCUGAGGAGCGAAAGCGUGGGGAGCAAACAGG